rnacentral:rRNA from 1 species
GACGAACGCUGGCGGCGUGCUUAACACAUGCAAGUCGAACGGAAAGGCCCUGCUUUUUUGGGGUGCUCGAGUGGCGAACGGGUGAGUAACACGUGAGUAACCUGCCCUUGACUUUGGGAUAACUUCAGGAAACUGGGGCUAAUACCGGAUAGGAGCUCCUGCUGCAUGGUGGGGGGUGGAAAGUUUCGGCGGUUGGGGAUGGACUCGCGGCUGAUCAGCUUGUUGGUGGGGUAGUGGCUUACCAAGGCUUUGACGGGUCGCCGGCCUGAGAGGGUGACCGGCCACAUUGGGACUGAGAUACGGACCAGACUCCUACGGGAGGCAGCAGUGGGGAAUAUUGCACAAUGGGCGGAAGCCUGAUGCAGCAACGCCGCGUGCGGGAUGACGGCCUUCGGGUUGUAAACCGCUUUCGCCUGUGACGAAGCGUGAGUGACGGUAAUGGGUAAAGAAGCACCGGCUAACUACGUG